rnacentral:rRNA from 1 species
AAAGCUAUGGCCGGAUGCUUACCUGCAGUCGAACGGAAUCUUCGGAUUUAGUGGCGGACGGGUGAGUAACGCGUAAGAAUCUACCUACAGACUCGGGACAACAGUUAGAAAUGACUGCUAAUACCGGAUAUGCCUUCGGGUGAAAGAUUUAUCAUCUGUAGAUGAGCUUGCGUCCGAUUAGCCAGAUGGUGGGGUAACGGCCUACCAUGGCGACGAUCGGUAGCUGGUCUGAGAGGAUGACCAGUCACACUGGGACUGAGACACGGCCCAGACUCCUACGGGAGGCAGCAGUGGGGAAUUUCCCGCUGGGGUCGAAAGCCUGACGGAGCAAUACCGCGUGAGGGACGAAGGCCUGUGGGUUGUAAACCUCUUUUGUUAUGGAAGAUAAUGACGGUACCUAACGAAUAAGCAUCGGCUAACUCCGUGCCAGCAGCCACGGUAAGACGGAGGAUGCAAGCGUUAUCCGGAAUUAUUGGGCGUAAAGCGUACGUAGGCUGUUUCAUAAGUCUGUUGUCAAAGCCCGAGGCUCAACCUUGGAUCGGCAAUGGAAACUGUGAGACUAGAGAGAGAUAGGGGCAGGAGGAAUUCCAGGUGUAGCGGUGAAAUGCGUAGAUAUCUGGAAGAACACCAGUGGCGAAAGCGUCCUGCUGGAUCUCAACUGACGCUGAAGUACGAAAGCUAGGGGAGCGAAUGGGAUUAGAUACCCCAGUAGUCCUAGCCGUAAACGAUGGGUACUAGGUGUUGGUCGUAUCGACCCGAUCAGUGCCGUAGCUAACGCGUUAAGUACCCCGCCUGGGGAGUACGGUCGCAAGAUUGAAACUCAAAGGAAUUGACGGGGGCCCGCACAAGCGGUGGAGUAUGUGGUUUAAUUCGAUGCAACGCGAAGAACCUUACCCAAGGCUUGACAUGUCGUGAAUCCUCUUGAAAGGGAGGAGUGCCUUCGGAGCACGAACACAGGUGGUGCAUGGCUGUCCGUCAGCUCGUGUCGUGAGAUGUUGGUUAAGUCCCGGCAGCGAGCGCAACCCUCGUUUUAAGUGCCAUCAUUAAGUUGGGCACUCUAAAAAGAACUGCCGGUGACAA